GACGAACGCUGGCGGCGUGCCUAAUACAUGCAAGUCGAGCGCAGGAAGCCGACGGAACCCUUCGGAGGGAAGCCUACGGAAUGAGCGGCGGACGGGUGAGUAACACGUAAAGAACCUGCCCUCAGGUCUGGGAUAACCACGAGAAAUCGGGGCUAAUACCGGAUGGGUCAUCGGACCGCAUGGUCCGAGGAUGAAAGGCGCUCCGGCGUCGCCUGGGGAUGGCUUUGCGGUGCAUUAGCUAGUUGGUGGGGUAAUGGCCCACCAAGGCGACGAUGCAUCGCCGACCGAAGAGGGUGAUCGGCCACACUGGGACUGAGACACGGCCCAGACUCCUACGGGAGGCAGCAGUAGGGAAUCUUCCACAAUGGACGAAAGUCUGAUGGAGCAACGCCGCGUGAACGAUGAAGGCCUUCGGGUCGUAAAGUUCUGUUGUAAGGGAAGAACAAGUGCCGCAGGCAAUGGCGGCACCUUGACGGUACCUUGCGAGAAAGCCACGGCUAACUACGUGCCAGCCGCCGCAGUAAUAC
rnacentral:rRNA from 1 species